rnacentral:tRNA from 1 species
GCCCGGUUAGCUCAGUCGGUAGAGCAUCAGACUUUUAAUCUGAGGGUCAAGGAUUCAAAUCCCUUAUUGGGCG